rnacentral:lncRNA from 1 species
UAAUUAUACCUUAAAGUUGUCAGACAAUCUAUCUUUGACAAAUAUUGUCCAAUCUUCAUCCUCAAUAAAAGUAUAUUGAAUUGGUGGUCUUUUGAGGAGCUCCGGUUGGUCUUCGAAAGGAAGAAUGUACUUCACUAUUAGCAAGUUCUUAAAGGACCGAAAGCAUUUUCCCAUUGUUAACAUACAAUUCCUCCUGCUUUUAUGAUUUAAUGAAAAAGCAGUAUGCACAUUAAUACCAAACUUUAGUAAUUUCAAGAGGUUAAGAAUGAUAGACAUUUUGCAUCAAAGUGAUUUAAAUAAGAAAUGGUUACCUCAAUGUUGUCCCAUAACUUAUCCUUCAAUUGUUUAG